CCUACGGGUGGCAGCAGUGGGGGAUAUUGCACAAUGGGGGGAACCCUGAUGCAGCGACGCCGCGUGGGUGAAGAAGCGCCUCGGCGCGUAAAGCCCUGGCAGCAGGGAAGAAAAUGACGGUACCUGAAGAAGAAGCCCUGGCUAACUACGUGCCAGCAGCCGCGGUAAUACGUUGGGGGCAAGCGUUAUCCGGAUUUACUGGGUGUAAAGGGGGCGCAGACGGCGAUUCAAGCCAGGAGUGAAAGCCCGGGGCCCAGCCCCGGGACUGCCCUUGGAACUGCGUGGCGGGAGUGCAGGAGGGGCAGGGGGAAUUCCUGGUGGAGCGGUGAAAUGCGGAGAUAUCAGGAGGAACACCGGUGGCGAAGGCGGCCUGCUGGACUGCAACUGACGUUGAGGCACGAAGGCCAGGGGAGCGAAAGGGAUUAGAUACCCGAGUAGUC
rnacentral:rRNA from 1 species